GAUGAACGCUAGCGGCAGGCUUAAUACAUGCAAGUCGAGGGGCAGCAUGGUGUAGCAAUACACUGAUGGCGACCGGCAAACGGGUGCGGAACACGUACAGAACCUUCCUUCGAGCGGGGAAUAGCCCAGAGAAAUUUGGAUUAAUACCCCAUAGUAUAUUGGAGUGGCAUCACUUUGAUAUUAAAGAUUUAUCACUUGAAGAUGGCUGUGCGGCUGAUUAGGUAGUUGGCAGGGUAACGGCCCAACAAGCCUACGAUCAGUAACUGGUGUGAGAGCGCGACCAGUCAAACGGGCACUGAGACACGGGCCCGACUCCUACGGUAGGCAGCAGUAAGGAAUAUUGGUCAAUGGACGAAAGUCUGAACCAGCCAUGCCGCGUGGAGGAUGAAGGUCCUCUGGAUUGUAAACUUCUUUUAUAUGGGACGAAAAAAGGCUUUUCUAAGUCGUCUGACGGUACCAUAUGAAUAAGCACCGGCUAACUCCGUGCCAGCCGCCGCCGUAAUAC
rnacentral:rRNA from 1 species